rnacentral:rRNA from 1 species
GACGAACGCUGGCGGCGUGCUUAACACAUGCAAGUCGAACGGAAAGGCCCUGCUUUUGUGGGGUGCUCGAGUGGCGAACGGGUGAGUAACACGUGAGUAACCUGCCCUUGACUUUGGGAUAACUUCAGGAAACUGGGGCUAAUACCGGAUAGGAGCUCCUGCUGCAUGGUGGGGGUUGGAAAGUUUCGGCGGUUGGGGAUGGACUCGCGGCUUAUCAGCUUGUUGGUGGGGUAGUGGCUUACCAAGGCUUUGACGGGUAGCCGGCCUGAGAGGGUUACCGGCCACAUUGCGACUGAGCUACGGCCCAGAACCCUACGGGAGGCAGCAGUGGGGAAUAUUGCACGAUGGGAGGAAGCCUGAUGCAGCAACGCCGCGUGCGGGAUGACGGCCUUCGGGUUGUAAACCGCUUUCGCCUGUGACGAAGUGUGAGUGACGGUAAUGGGUAAAGAAGCACCGGCUAACUCCGUG